UACGUAUGGUGCAAGCGUUAUCCGGAUUUACUGGGUGUAAAGGGAGCGUAGACGGAUAGGCAAGUCUGGAGUGAAAACCCAGGGCUCAACCCUGGGACUGCUUUGGAAACUGCAGGUCUGGAGUGCCGGAGAGGUAAGCGGAAUUCCUAGUGUAGCGGUGAAAUGCGUAGAUAUUAGGAGGAACACCAGUGGCGAAGGCGGCUUACUGGACGGUGACUGACGUUGAGGCUCGAAAGCGUGGGGAGCAAACAGG
rnacentral:rRNA from 1 species